UGGGGCGGGGUUCCUUACCAUGCAAGUCGAACGAUGAAGCCCUUCGGGGUGGAUUAGUGGCGAACGGGUGAGUAACACGUGGGAAAUCUGCCCUGCACUCUGGGACAAGCCUUGGAAACGAGGUCUAAUACCGGAUAUGACUGCUGACCGCAUGGUCGGUGGUGGAAAGCUCCGGCGGUGCAGGAUGACCCCGCGGCCUAUCAGCUUGUUGGUGGGGUAAUGGCCUACCAAGGCGACGACGGGUAGCCGGCCUGAGAGGGCGACCGGCCACACUGGGACUGAGACACGGCCCAGACUCCUACGGGAGGCACCAGUGCGGAAUAUUGCACAAUGGGCGAAAGCCUUAUGCAACGACGCCCUG
rnacentral:rRNA from 1 species